CAACAUGGUGAAACCCUGUCUCUACUAAAAAUACAAAAAAUUAGCUGGGCACGGUGGCGCGUGCCUGUAAUCCCAGCUACUCGGGAGGCUGAGGCAGGAGAAUUGCCUGAACCCAGGAGGUGGAGGUUGCGGUGAGCCGAGAUCGCGCCAUUGCACUCCAGCCUGGGUAACGAGCAAAAACUCCGUCUCAAAAAAAGAAAAGAAAAACCAUUUUAGAAGAAAUUUCCAUUUUUUAAAAAAAGAAGUGAUUUCUUAAAAGGUACUGAUAAUUUAUCUUUGCUGUAGAUGAAUGCCAUGUUUCUAUAUUCUAGGACUCUUACUGAAUAAUACUGUUUAUUUCUUUAGAUCAACCAAUAUAUUCUUUAUUUUGUGUUCAAACGAACACUGUGAGAUGAUUGGGAAGGCUGUGUGUUGAAGUUAGAUGCAAAGUUGGACCUUGUACAGUGAGCCUCUUGUGAGAACUGAAUUCUGGGAAAACUGUGUAAACCAUGAAAGAUAAAGCCUGUCAUUCAUGUCUGCCUUGGCCUGUGCCCAGCUUUGUUUCUCACCAUUCAGUUUUUACUAACUAGACCUACUAGCAUUUAAAGAGAAGUACAUUCAUCCUCUCAAAGAAAACGAGGUUACUGAAAGAACUCACUUAAUUCCUUUUUCCCUGAACCCGUGGUUUUAAAUGGAGAGGAAAAUGUAUUAGAUACGACACUUUACAUGAGUAUUACUGAAGAUUUUGUGAAAAAGAGGUGGGAAGGCAGUUUGGUACUUUAUUUCCAGCUUGGCUACAGACUUGGUGACCCUGAGCAAAUCACUCAGCCUCCGCUUGCCUCCAUUUCUUCAUCUGUAAAAUGGGCAUAACCAGCAUACUGAGGAAUCGAUUAAAGAGGUUAAAAGAAUCCAUAGGCGCAUUGACCCCAAAGAUGGCUAGAAUAUAGAUGUAAUUGAUAUUUAUGAAGACUUUCUAUUAUAUAGCAAUCUAAUUUUAAAAAUAUCUUUACCCACUUCUCUGUAGCAGGUAAAGAUUUUGACUAGCAUUUUGAAGUAGGAACUAACAAUAAAGUAUAAAAUUAAGUAGAUUUUCUUUUCUUUUUUUUUUUUUUUGAGAUGCAAUCUCACUCUGUCGCCCAGGCUAGAGUGCAGCGGCGCAAUCUUGGCUCACUACAACACCAGCUCCCAAGUUCAAGCAGUUUUCUGCCUCAGCCUCCUGAGUAGCUGGGAUUACAAGUGCCAGCCACCAUGCCCGGCUAAUUUUUGUAUUUUUAGUAGAGAUGGGGUUUCACCAUGUUGGCCAGGCUGGUCUUGAACUCCUGACCUAGUGAUCCACCCACCUUAGCCUUUCGAAGUGCGGACAUUACAGGCGUGAGCCACCAAGCCCAGCCAAUUUUUAAUAUAUAUGGUUAUGAAAUAGUUCUAGUAAAAAUUUAUGAUGUACACUGUUGGUCUGAGUGUGGGUUAAAAUACAUCAUUGCGCUUGGCUAAUUUGUGGAAUGUCUUGAGUUGGCUUCAUUUAUUUCAGAGAGAUGCAUAGAUGAUCAGAUCACACUGUCAUAGUAGUGUUUUUAGCACAUACGAGAAUCUUAGCAUUUUGGAGCCUUAGAGCUCAGCCAGUGUAAUUUCCUACCGGAAGCAGAUUUCUUCCUGGUGACCUCACCAGCAGCUGUUUGUGCAGCCUUUUCCUGAAAGCUUUUUGGGAAAGGUGGGGCUGAUACCUCACUACUUUGAUGUGCACCUUUUGUUCAAGAACUUUCUAAAACUUGGAGCUAAUCAUGUUUUUUUUCAGAAGAUGUAAGCAUUUUAAAUUUUUUAUUGAAUUCCAUCCUUAUUUAAAAGUCCUGGUUGGUAAUAUUUUCUCAGUUUUUUUUAUUUUUUAUUUUUGCAUGCUGUCCCACAUUGAUUAGGUUGUUUUCUUCAUUUUAUUAAUAGUCUAAAGAUACUUUCAUCUCUAUUUAUGUCUUCUUCCAUUUAGUAUUUAUGGGAGAGAGCAAGAAGGGAAGAUAUAUCUAUUUUUAAAACUGACUGCAAUCAUAACUGUUCUUGUCUUUCUGUAGCAACUGGAUUUAUUACUAUUUCUUAUUUAAAGGUCCUUCAGAACUCGUUGAAGCAGUUCAUUUCAGGUCAAUGCCUGCUAAGCAAUGUCAGGACCUCUGGGGAAGGGGAAGCCGACAGGAUCCCAGAGGAAAGAAUUCAGGUUGUUUGCUCUCUUGUAGAAAGCCCACGGAUCCCUUCCCAGAGUAGAAAAAAGUGCCAGAGUGUCCUGAAACUGUUUCCUUCCAAGGCACAUACUUCAAAGAGAUUGGGGAUUCUUUUUUUUAAAUAUAGGUGGGGCCUCACUGUGUUGCCCAGGCUUGUCUUGAACUCCUGGGCUCAAGCGAUCCUCCCGCCUCAGCCUCCCAAAGUGUUGGCAUUACAGGCAUGAGUCACAUGCAUGGCCAUGGAGAUUCUAAUGUGGUGCCAGCUGCCAGGUAAGAAAGCUGUGAGACAAUGUGUUGAUAUUCCUCUAAUACGUCAGGUUUGGGGACAUCAUCUAGCAUCUAUGUGUGACAUCACCCUUUGUUCCAUCUUUGGGAAAUGAUAGUAGUAGCUUGUUAUUGUUAGCUGACCCCUAAAUUGGCAUCAACAAAAGUAAAUCCCUUUAGUUUUAACUUUCCUUUUGGCCUUUUAUUACCUUUCUCUCUCUCUCCUCCUUCCUCCCCACCAGCCCUCCCCCACUCUCUCCAUGUGCACACAUCCACACACAUUUCCCUGGUACUCCUUCCACCCAUCUAAAGGAAGCUGUGCUCAGUCUUGCUGCAUGCCAGAUUACCGUACUGAGGUCAGUCAGCCGUAGACUAAACUCUCAAGCAGCCAUUAGCUGUACGUAGCCACCAGAUUCACUCGUUCAGACAGGUUUACACAGCUAUUUGCUGACCAAACACAUCAGCUGUGCAGGAGCCCAAGGCAGCCUGUCGGGCAGAAGAAUUACCAACCAAAGUGGAUCUCUUCAUAAAAUCAAAGAUCUGGAGUCCGUGUCCUUUUAAAAAAACUUUUGUCUUCAGACAUAUGGGUGCGUGUUCAUCUCUGGCCAAAACUUCGUUUCCAGUUUCAAAGGGCUGGUUCCAAAGGUGGCUUUGUAACCUUUCUGUUGCUGGCUCCGUUAGUUGCCUGAUAAGCAGUAGCUAAGUGAUCAUCCUCAGAAUUUGAGAGGGGCAUCUUUUAGAUUCAGACCACCAGGGUGCCUGUGUGGGCUCUCCUGAGCCCUCUUUUCUCAUCUGUGGGGUGAACGCUUCUCUUUGCAGAAAUUUGCUUGCAUCUUUUCCUUUUAUUUAUUAUUACUUUUAGAGACGGUGCCUUGCUCUGCUGCCCGGGCUGGAGUGCAGUGGACUCUUGUCUUCUGUUGAUCUUUGCCACCCUCUGCCUGGCUUAAUGAGGUUCUUUUCCUCAUUAUUAUCUCCCACACGCUGACCUUCCCCCUGCAUUUUUAAGAAAGAAGCAGAGAAUGUCACCAAGUGUAAGCAAUUCUAUGAAGUCCAUAGGGUUAGCUUUGGGAAUAGAUGCUUUCUUCUUCUUUUGGUGUAAACAUCAAUUUGGAAUGUAAUUAGAAUGUCUUUAGCCUCUUUAAAAAGCCCUUCUGAGGCAAACCUUUGCAAGUCACUCGACUGGCAUGUCCUUAGAAUUCUAUUUGCAUGGCUUUUUUUUUCUAAGUCGCUCUAGAAGAACCUAAGAACAUUCUGAAAAUGCAAGGAUUACAGUUAUUCUCACAUCAAGGAUCAACUUUAUUUUGUAUCUUCACUUUAUGUCAUUUUCGAUUAUUUGGUUAGUAUCAAUCUAGCAUUAAUUUCACCCGGAGGGAAUGACUAUGUUUGCUUGCCACCACCUGUGUUUAGUAAGGGAUGGCUUUUCUUUAUCUGCCUUUCUGAAUUUCAUAUUUGUAUGCUUUGUUGUAAUUUUAAAAAAUCGAUUCUAGCUGGGCUAGAAUCUUCAAGUAUUAAUUUAUAAUGAACUUUCCCUCUUCUGGAAUUGUUUAGGAGGGCUCAGUGUUCUACGUUCUUUUCGUCGCUGUAGAUACGCAUUGUCAUUUCCGUGCUCUUUGAGUGCUUUAUGAUACUGGGAACCGGUCUGCCUUUGAUUCAAGGUGAACGAUAUGGAGUGCAGCAAGACAGAAACUCCACUCAAGAACGGUGCAGCCAAGAGCAUAGGGCUCUGUCUUCCCCAGCACCCAGUGGGAGGGCCAUCCUCCCAAGAGAGGCAACAUGGCAGCAUUUCUCCUGCCCCCAGUUCCUGUUGCUGAGGCUAAGUUCCGGGAUGGGGCAAAGGAUGGUGAGCCACAUACUCAGAUCGAGUCAAGGAUACACCUACGGUCCCAGCUACUCAGGAAGCUAAGGCAAGAGAUCGCUUGAGCCCAGGAGUUCGAGGUUGCAGUGAGUUAUGAUCAUGCCACUGUACUCCAGCUCGGGUGACCGAAUGAGACCCUGUCUUUAAUGGAUGCUUUACAUACAUUGUCUUAUUUUGUAAGACAAUGUAUGUAAAGCAGCCCUGGAUGUUUUAGUAAAUAUCAGUGUUAAUUCUAUCAGACUUGCAUCAUUGUCUCAGGUGGUCCACCUGAGCCAAACCACUAGUCAGUUCUUCGCAGUUUGUGUCCUUGUGGUUGUUUGAGGCUGCCACCACUGCUGUUGUGGGCAUCAAGAACUCACAAGAGGUUGGGUGUGGUGGCACUCACCUGUAAUCGUAGCUGCUUGGGAGGAUGGGUGUGGAGGAUUGCUUGAGUCCAGGAGGUUGAGACUGCGUGAGCUAUGAUCAUACCAAUGCACUUCAGCCCAGGUGACAGAGAGAGACCCCAUCUCUUAAAAAAUUAAAAAUUAGACCAGAUGC